rnacentral:lncRNA from 1 species
UGCAUAAGUCUGUAAUCAUAAAACUCCCCUAGCCCCAACUGUGAUUGAAUGUGAGUAAAUAGAUAAAGACGCUUGUGAGUUCCGGGACACUAGAUAAGAUCUGUAUCAGCCAUAAGGUCCCAAAGUAAAUUACUCAACUCUUUGUUCGAAACUGAUGUUCCGGACACCGCUAUCUAUAGAACAAUCUACAAACAUCUGCUGACCAUCAGUAUGUGUCAGCUGACCACUAACCUUUGUUCCUCUUCUGUAAAUUUUGUCUGUUAACUUCCCCUGCAACCCCCUAUAAAAAGAGCCUCGGACUCUGGGCUAGUCGCCUCUCUAAGCUACUUUGCUUUGGGAGUGCCGUCUGGCCAGACUAAGGUCCGUUUUACCUUCCAACUUGUCCGGUGUGUUCCUUCCCGGGUCUUCUUCGCUGCAGUCAGCUCCUCGGAGCGUUUGCCUGCAGUCUUUUGGAGCUGAAAUUACUUAUCUACACAGAAGUCUUCUCCACCCAGACAUGGAGUCUAUGGAGUGCUCUGCCAUCUCUCAGAAACUUGGUA